AAACUCCUUAUGCAAUGCGCCAAUUAUGGCUCUGAUUAAACUGUGUUUCUGUUUUGCGGUGAUGGCUUUACCAAAAUGAGAGCAUUGCUCUUGCCGGUUCCGCGUCCUCACCUACCACUCCGUCAGGCCAGCCUCUGGAUAAAACCCAACAGCUCCUGAGCAAAUCAAGAGCAUUGUCCACAGUCGAGCGCGUAGAGCCUGCAGGUGGGGCCGGUAGUUCUUGGAGUGUACAUCCCACACCAGCAGCAUCACCAGAAACUUGUUACAAAUGUAAAUUGUGGGUCCCACCCCAGACCUGCUGGAACAGGAACUGGGUGCGGUAGGGGAGGGGACCGAAGUCAGGAAUCCGGGUUUUAACAAGCCCUUCGGGAGAAUCUGAUGCAGGUGAACUACAGAGGUAGGCGGCAAAAAAGUGACUCUCAAGUAGACCCAGGGAAAACCCAGAUGGCGUGUAGCUAGGGAACUUGCGUCAAGUACAGAGCCCCUCCAGCUGUAUGCGAAAGAGUGAGCCUUUCCAGUUGGAUCCCUUCUCUUUUGAUACCUGCUAAGACACUGCUUCUGGGGCAUAGCUAAAUUCCUUGCUUUAACUCCUGGAUAGAAGGCUUAUCAUCAAGAUUAUUGAUCUUGAGAUGCUAGAUUUUCUUCAUAUCACAAUAAAUUGAAUGUUGAAACAGAUCUGAGAAUCCAUCUGUCCUCUAGGAAGACAAACUCAAAAGGGAUUUUUUAAAAUCUUGUCACAGACUAGUGCAAUACAAAAAGAAGAUGAAUGCAUCCUUCCAACUCCAGAUUGUCUCUGCUCAUAAAGCAAAGCUGUUCUCUCCCCAUCUCAAGAAUGACUGGUUUAGAUCACUACAACAGAUCAAUGAUGUUCUGGUUAUUUGAUGAGUUUAUGGAAACAGAACAAGGAAGAUGGAGUCCCACUCAUGGAUUUCCCUGCAAGGUGAUUCCACAGUAGCCAAAUCUGAAGAAGUACUGUUUAUGUUUUCUAUGGUGCCACUUUCCUUGUAGCCAAAUUGCCCUUUUGGUUUUUCUGAUUCAAUUAAUGCCACCCUUACAUAUUGCUACAUACUAAUAGACUUGUUGGUCCAAGAGUGAGGCACAGACCAGCAUCUGUAGCAUCCCCUGACGCAUUUUAGAAAUGUAUACUCUUGGGCUCCACCUUAGACCUCCUGAAUCAGAAUCUGCAUUUUAACAAGAUCCCCAGGGGGUGUGUAUGUUUAUCCAUGUUGGAGAGGCACUGUUGUGCAUCAGAUGAUUUCAACCAUGGCUGCACUUUGAAAUCACCUGGGAGUUUCAAGAAAAAUCCUGAUGUUUGGGCUACACUGCAGAGCAAUGAAAUGAAAAUCUCUGCAAGGUAGGACACUGCUUAAGAAGAAUAAGCAUUCGGGGCGCCUGGGUGGCACAGCGGUUAAGCGUCUGCCUUCCGCUCAGGGC